rnacentral:rRNA from 1 species
GAGGGAAACCGAGUCUUAACCGGGCGUUAAGUUGCAGGGUAUAGACCCGAAACCCGGUGAUCUAGCCAUGGGCAGGUUGAAGGUUGGGUAACACUAACUGGAGGACCGAACCGACUAAUGUUGAAAAAUUAGCGGAUGACCUGUGGCUGGGGGUGAAAGGCCAAUCAAACCGGGAGAUAGCUGGUUCUCCCCGAAAGCUAUUUAGGUAGCGCCUCGUGAAUUCAUCUCCGGGGGUAGAGCACUGUUUCGGCUAGGGGGCCAUCCCGGCUUACCAACCCGAUGCAAACUGCGAAUACCGGAGAAUGUUAUCACGGGAGACACACGGCGGGUGCUAACGUCCGUCGUGAAGAGGGAAACAACCCAGACCGCCAGCUAAGGUCCCAAAGUCAUGGUUAAGUGGGAAACGAUGUGGGAAGGCCCAGACAGCCAGGAUGUUGGCUUAGAAGCAGCCAUCAUUUAAAGAAAGCGUAAUAGCUCACUGGUCGAGUCGGCCUGCGCGGAAGAUGUAACGGGGCUAAACCAUGCACCGAAGCUGCGGCAGCGAACGUAUCACCCAAGACAACUUUACGGAGUUGACGAUUGACGGAGCGAAGCGACGUCAAAGCGUUCAUUAAAGUCGAGUUGGCUUAGGGAUACGUUCGUUGGGUAGGGGAGCGUUCUGUAAGCCUGUGAAGGUGUGUCGUGAGGCAUGCUGGAGGUAUCAGAAGUGCGAAUGCUGACAUAAGUAACGAUAAAGCGGGUGAAAAGCCCGCUCGCCGGAAGACCAAGGGUUCCUGUCCAACGUUAAUCGGGGCAGGGUGAGUCGACCCCUAAGGCGAGGCCGAAAGGCGUAGUCGAUGGGAAACGGGUUAAUAUUCCCGUACUUGGUGUUACUGCGAAGGGGGGACGGAGAAGGCUAUGUUGGCCGGGCGACGGUUGUCCCGGUUUAAGCGUGUAGGUGUGUGUUCCAGGUAAAUCCGGUUCACUUUAACACUGAGGCGUGACGACGAGGCACUACGGUGCUGAAGCAACAAAUGCCCUGCUUCCAGGAAAAGCCUCUAAGCAUCAGGUAACAUCAAAUCGUACCCCAAACCGACACAGGUGGUCAGGUAGAGAAUACCAAGGCGCUUGAGAGAACUCGGGUGAAGGAACUAGGCAAAAUGGUGCCGUAACUUCGGGAGAAGGCACGCUGACACGUAGGUGAAGUGAUUUACUCA